CUGAGGAGCUACAGGGUUCCCCUGGUCUUCAGGGACCACCUUCAGAAGUGGGACGGGGAAGGCAACCCCCUUCCCAGGUUCAACCCAAACGGAUCCUUACUUUCCUCUUUUUGAUACAAUGGGAUUCCAUCUAAAAUUUCAUUUAGGGCGGGGAGUGGUGCCUUACACCUGCAAUCCCAACACUUUGAGAGGCCAACGCGGGAAGAUUGCUUGAGACCAGGACUUUGAGACCAGCCUGGGCAACAGAGCGAGACCCUGUCUCUACAAAUAAAUAAAUAAAUAAAUUUUCAUUUAAAGAAGGGGUUAUAUAGCCUAAUGUUUUUAAAGCUUUCUUAACCAUUAUAUUCUAUAACCUAUAACCAACUUCCUCAUUUUAUAGUUGGAGCUCAGAGAAGUUAUGGCCCAAGAUGGAAGAGCAAGUCUGUGGCAGACGAGGUCCAAGAACUCGCUCUCCUGAUGCCUCAGUUGAGAACAAGUUCUACUUCACUACCUGGUCUCCCAGCUACACAAGGGCAUAUGAACAACCAGGGAAUUACUUUGGGGGAUACCAGCAAGGAGAUUUGGAGAUCCUGGAAAUUGGAAAAAACAAAACAAUCUGUCUAGGACGGCAGAGAGAGCUGGUCUCAUCCAGGUGAGUGUCCCAAAUCCUGCUUCCCAGCUUGGCAUCCUGUGUUAUACUCUUUCCCCAGAGGAGAAAUGGGUCAGGUUCUUGGGUUUCACAAACCCAUUAAAGGCAUGCUGUGACAGCUGGCAAGCUGGUAGCUCCUGGG
rnacentral:lncRNA from 1 species